rnacentral:rRNA from 4 species
GGGUUGUGAGGUUAAGCGACUAAGCGUACACGGUGGAUGCCCUGGCAGUCAGAGGCGAUGAAGGACGUGCUAAUCUGCGAUAAGCGUCGGUAAGGUGAUAUGAACCAUUAUAACCGGCGAUUUCCGAAUGGGGAAACCCAGUGUGAUUCGUCACACUAUCAUUAACUGAAUCCAUAGGUUAAUGAGGCGAACCGGGGGAACUGAAACAUCUAAGUACCCCGAGGAAAAGAAAUCAACCGAGAUUCCCCCAGUAGCGGCGAGCGAACGGGGAGCAGCCCAGAGCCUGAAUCAGUGUGUGUGUUAGUGGAAGCGUCUGGAAAGGCGUGCGAUACAGGGUGACAGCCCCGUACACAAAAAUGCACAUAUUGUGAGCUCGAUGAGUAGGGCGGGACACGUGGUAUCCUGUCUGAAUAUGGGGGGACCAUCCUCCAAGGCUAAAUACUCCUGACUGACCGAUAGUGAACCAGUACCGUGAGGGAAAGGCGAAAAGAACCCCGGCGAGGGGAGUGAAAAAGAACCUGAAACCGUGUACGUACAAGCAGUGGGAGCACGCUUAGGCGUGUGACUGCGUACCUUUUGUAUAAUGGGUCAGCGACUUAUAUUCUGUAGCAAGGUUAACCGAAUAGGGGAGCCGAAGGGAAACCGAGUCUUAACUGGGCGUUAAGUUGCAGGGUAUAGACCCGAAACCCGGUGAUCUAGCCAUGGGCAGGUUGAAGGUUGGGUAACACUAACUGGAGGACCGAACCGACUAAUGUUGAAAAAUUAGCGGAUGACUUGUGGCUGGGGGUGAAAGGCCAAUCAAACCGGGAGAUAGCUGGUUCUCCCCGAAAGCUAUUUAGGUAGCGCCUCGUGAAUUCAUCUCCGGGGGUAGAGCACUGUUUCGGCAAGGGGGUCAUCCCGACUUACCAACCCGAUGCAAACUGCGAAUACCGGAGAAUGUUAUCACGGGAGACACACGGCGGGUGCUAACGUCCGUCGUGAAGAGGGAAACAACCCAGACCGCCAGCUAAGGUCCCAAAGUCAUGGUUAAGUGGGAAACGAUGUGGGAAGGCCCAGACAGCCAGGAUGUUGGCUUAGAAGCAGCCAUCAUUUAAAGAAAGCGUAAUAGCUCACUGGUCGAGUCGGCCUGCGCGGAAGAUGUAACGGGGCUAAACCAUGCACCGAAGCUGCGGCAGCGACGCUGAUGCGUUGUUGGGUAGGGGAGCGUUCUGUAAGCCUGUGAAGGUGUGCUGUGAGGUAUGCUGGAGGUAUCAGAAGUGCGAAUGCUGACAUAAGUAACGAUAAAGCGGGUGAAAAGCCCGCUCGCCGGAAGACCAAGGGUUCCUGUCCAACGUUAAUCGGGGCAGGGUGAGUCGACCCCUAAGGCGAGGCCGAAAGGCGUAGUCGAUGGGAAACAGGUUAAUAUUCCUGUACUUGGUGUUACUGCGAAGGGGGGACGGAGAAGGCUAUGUUGGCCGGGCGACGGUUGUCCCGGUUUAAGCGUGUAGGCUGGUUUUCCAGGCAAAUCCGGAAAACUAAGGCUGAGGCGUGAUGACGAGGCACUACGGUGCUGAAGCAACAAAUGCCCUGCUUCCAGGAAAAGCCUCUAAGCAUCAGGUAACAUCAAAUCGUACCCCAAACCGACACAGGUGGUCAGGUAGAGAAUACCAAGGCGCUUGAGAGAACUCGGGUGAAGGAACUAGGCAAAAUGGUGCCGUAACUUCGGGAGAAGGCACGCUGAUAUGUAGGUGAAGUCCCUCGCGGAUGGAGCUGAAAUCAGUCGAAGAUACCAGCUGGCUGCAACUGUUUAUUAAAAACACAGCACUGUGCAAACACGAAAGUGGACGUAUACGGUGUGACGCCUGCCCGGUGCCGGAAGGUUAAUUGAUGGGGUCAGCGCAAGCGAAGCUCUUGAUCGAAGCCCCGGUAAACGGCGGCCGUAACUAUAACGGUCCUAAGGUAGCGAAAUUCCUUGUCGGGUAAGUUCCGACCUGCACGAAUGGCGUAAUGAUGGCCAGGCUGUCUCCACCCGAGACUCAGUGAAAUUGAACUCGCUGUGAAGAUGCAGUGUACCCGCGGCAAGACGGAAAGACCCCGUGAACCUUUACUAUAGCUUGACACUGAACAUUGAGCCUUGAUGUGUAGGAUAGGUGGGAGGCUUUGAAGUGUGGACGCCAGUCUGCAUGGAGCCGAC